CCACCGCAUUACACUGACACUCGUGACAGAUGGAGAGUUGGUUCAGAGUAUUUAAUAUUACAGUACUGGAUUCACAAUAGCCUAUUGUCAUCAGUUUAUAUAGGGCUUUGCAAGCUAAUUCCAUCCAACAGUGGCCAACCAUUAUUGAGUGUCACUCCCAACAACAAUAGUAUCACCCUAUUUGGUAUAGUGUUGCACCCUAGUCAGUAUAUUCGAUCAUGUACUCCUUCUAAGAUUAGCACCAGUGGCCCCCAAGCUAUCUUGGCAAACCGCAGACCUUCUGGCAUCCACCUUGACAGAAAUAAAUACAUGGAAUGUCCUCAUCCUCCCAAUCCUUAUGCAGCUCAUAUGAUCAAAGACAUUAACAAAUACUUUAUAAAAAGACGUCAUAUCAGUCUGUCAGUGCAAGACUUUGGGGAUUUUCCCAGGGCACACAUGCAGGUAACGGCACUGACAGCCAAGUUGCGUAGGUGGUAGCGGAACUAUAAAUUCGAUGUAUAUCAUUAAGAAGAAAUAAGGUUACUUUAGACUUUGUAGUCGUGGUUUGAUAUGGAGACGUGCGCAAGGAACCGCGAGAUUCCUGAAGACACCGUGAUUUCAAUGGCGCAGCAAGAGACUGUUUUUCUUUUGCUCAAACACUGUCAAGAAAUGAAGCGACAGGAGAGUCGCUGGCGUCUUGUCACGUUAUUCUUGGUUCUGGGCUAUGCAGCUGUAUUUUUCUUUACGCAGCGUGUGAUCAGAGACUGUAUUGAGAAGGUAAGCAAUGGGACAUCCACAUGUUUUUAACGGGGCACACAAAUGCCGGAGAGCUUUGGCAUUGGAUUUAAAUGGAACCUUAACUUCUGUGGGUCACCAUUAAUAGUUAACUUGUCUUUGUUUUUGUAGGAUACAUUCACAACUGCAGAAAACUCAAGACAGCAAGCUAUAGAUCGUCAAGGACAGAAUCUGAAGCCAAACGCUCACCUGACAACAUCAUCAAGCUGCAACUCCGUGCCUAAAGACUACAUCCAAUGGGAACACCAGGACACUGGCUUGGUGCACAUGCAGAAUUUCACCUAUGACGAGAGCAAGCAAGCUCUGGUUGUCCCUCAGGAAGGCCGAUACUAUGUCUAU